rnacentral:lncRNA from 1 species
AAGAGGGGGGUCUGGUAUGGGGAGGCCUCUAACCCUGCUAUCUGACCAGGCUGGGGUCAGGGGCAAGCAGCACCUGGCCAUGCAGGGAAACUGCCACCUUCAGCUCCAUCUGCCCCAGGUUCCCUAAAAUCAGACUCUGUCAUCGGCAAGUGGAGACUGUAACAGACUGGGACCCUCACAUGCCGAUAAGCAGUCAAGAAUAUUUUCUGGGAGCUGGAGAGAUGGGCUCAGCAGUUAAGAACACUGACUGCUCUUCCGGAGGUCCUGUGUUCAAAUCCCAGCAACCACAGGGUAACUCACAACCAUCUGUAAUGAGAUCUGAUGCCCUCUUCGGGUGUGUCUGAAGACAGCUACAGUGUCCUUACAUAUAAUAAAUAAAUAAAUCUUUUUUUUAAAAGAA